rnacentral:rRNA from 1 species
UAGGGAAUCUUCCGCAAUGGGCGAAAGCCUGACGGAGCAACGCCGCGUGAGUGAUGAAGGUCUUCGGAUCGUAAAACUCUGUUAUUAGGGAAGAACAAAUGUGUAAGUAACUAUGCACGUCUUGACGGUACCUAAUCAGAAAGCCACGGCUAACUACGUGCCAGCAGCCGCGGUAAUACGUAGGUGGCAAGCGUUAUCCGGAAUUAUUGGGCGUAAAGCGCGCGUAGGCGGUUUUUUAAGUCUGAUGUGAAAGCCCACGGCUCAACCGUGGAGGGUCAUUGGAAACUGGAAAACUUGAGUGCAGAAGAGGAAAGUGGAAUUCCAUGUGGAGCGGUGGAAUGCGCAGAGGUAUGGAGGAACACCAGUGGCGAAGGCGACUUUCUGGUCUGUAACUGACGCUGAUGUGCGAAAGCGUGGGGAUCAAACAGG